rnacentral:lncRNA from 1 species
UCAUUAUUGAAACUACGUUUCAAUCCAACACUUGAUUGUAGGGUCAUUAAUGUCUUUGCAAACUCAAGAUCCAAAUUAAUUCUGUACAAACCAUCACAUAGAAUUCCAGAACCAACUUUUAUUGAAUCAUAAAAUAUACUGAGUUUGCCACUACCAAAAGAAAGACAAUAUCCUAACUCAUCAAUUCUAGAAAGAGAAACUAAAUUUCUAGAAAUUGUAGGGACAUAACAU